CACCGACAAUGGAGAAACUAAUUCAGGCGGCGAGGGAGAAGCGAUUUCGGAGAAGAACGGAAGCUGUGUCAGAGUUCAGAGUUGAACAGAUGUCUCUGCUUUCAAAUCCAAGUAUGAGAGCCUUUAAGAAAUGCAGGUACCUUCACACUUCAGACUUAAGAUUAAUGGAUGAGCGUUAUACAUUCAUCUUGGUUAACAGAACAGCUGCCAUACAUAAACUUUAUAACUCCAAACAAUAAUCCUAAUUUAUAAAAGUGCAAUCUUCCUUGUGAUAUUAUGCUUGUAUAAUACAUGUUUAAAAUAUAUUAUC